rnacentral:rRNA from 1 species
AAAUGAAGAUUAAUACUCCAUAAUAUUGGGAAGUGGCAUCACUAUCUAAUUANNGAUUUAUCGGUACAAGAUGACUAUGCGUCCUAUUAGCUAGAUGGUAAGGUAACGGCUUACCAUGGCAACGAUAGGUAGGGGGUCUGAGAGGAUUAUCCCCCACACUGGUACUGAGACACGGACCAGACUCCUACGGGAGGCAGCAGUGAGGAAUAUUGGUCAAUGGAGGCAACUCUGAACCAGCCAUGCCGCGUGCAGGAAGACUGCCCUAUGGGUUGUAAACUGCUUUUAUACAGGAAGAAACUUAUCCACGUGUGGGUAACUGACGGUACUGUAAGAAUAAGCACCGGCUAACUCCGUGCCAGCAGCCGCGGUAAUACGGAGGGUGCAAGCGUUAUCCGGAAUCAUUGGGUUUAAAGGGUCCGCAGGCGGUCAAUUAAGUCAGAGGUGAAAUCCUACAGCUUANCUGUAGAACUGCCUUUGAUACUGGUUGACUUGAGUCAUAUGGAAGUAGAUAGAAUGUGUAGUGUAGCGGUGAAAUGCAUAGAUAUUACNCAGAAUACCGAUUGCGAAGGCAGUCUACUACGUAUGUACUGACGCUCAUGNACGAAAGCGUGGGGAGCGAA